rnacentral:tRNA from 8 species
GCUGGUGUAACUCAGUUGGUAGAGUAGUGGUUUUGUAAACCACCUGUCGCAGGUUCGAGUCCUGUCACCAGCU